CUGAUUCCUCUUUAUUAUGCCUCAUGCACACAACCGUGCCGUUUUUUGCGGUCCGCAAACCGCGGAUCCGCAAAAAACGGAAGCCGCCCGUGUGCCUCCCGCAAUUCACGGAACGGGAGGCGCAUUGUAGAAAUUCCUAUUCUUGUCCACAAAACGGACAAGAAUAGGACAUGUUCUAUUUUUUUUUGCGGGGCCACGGA